rnacentral:lncRNA from 1 species
UAUACAUUAAGGGCAAGUUUGGUUCACCUGUUUUAGACUAUGGAAUCGGAAUGGAAUUCGUUGAUUUCGAUAGUUGCCGUUUGUUUUAUAGGAAUCGAAUUCCGAUUCCCAUUUCACUCCGGAAUGGGAAUGGCUAAAUCUAUUUAUGAUCCAAUCUGGCUUUGAAUCCCGGAUUGGCUCAUUCCAAAGUAAACUAUUCAAAAUCCUCUUUCAUCAACAACUACCUCCUCUCCCUUCAUCACUUUCCUCUCUCUUAAUCAAAACUCUCUCUCAAAAAUUUUAAAUUUUCAUUCCGAUUUCCAUUCCAAUAAUGAACUAAAUAUUUUUGGAUGAUUCGUCAUUCUAUUUUCCAUUCCAUAGCAAUCCAAUUUCAUUUCCCAUUCGUAUUCCAAUCAUAAACCAAACGUGCCCUAAUAUAUAUCCUUAAUAAAAGUAUAUACUAUAUAUAAUAUAUUAUAUCAUUUAUUUCUUAGACGGAUAAAUAUUAU